rnacentral:ncRNA from 1 species
UUUUCGAAGAGUUUGAUCCUAGCUCAGAGUGAACGCUGGCGGUGCGCCUAACACAUGCAAGUCGAGUGGGUUUAGACCCACGGCGAACGGCUGCGUAACACGUUGGUACUCCCCCCGAACUCAGGGAUAACCCGCCGAAAGGCGGAUUAAUACCGGAUAGUCUCGGUUCCUCAUUGCACUUGUAUCGAAGGUUUGUGGAAGUUAUGAAAAAUCGGAAUGUCAUAUUGCUACAUUGUUAUAUUGUUAGCUAAGCAAGCAAGAAAGGUCUUUCCUUAUUACAGGAAACAUCUGAGUUCGCUUGCGAACAAUAUAGCCAUAUAACAAUGUAGCCCUCCGAGAAUGCAUAACAAUCACAAACCUAAAGGACGAGUGUAGCGAGGAAUCGAGUAAAGAUUUAUCGGUUCGGGAGAGGCCUGCGGCCUAUCAGGUAGUUGGUAAGGUAACGGCUUACCAAGCCUAUGACGGGUAGCUGAUCUGAGAGGAUGAUCAGC